rnacentral:lncRNA from 1 species
CUUGACUGCUAUGACAACUUGAAUACUACAAACAACAUUUUGAUGACCAGUCAGUUUUGGGAAGUUUUGGCUCAUAUUCUAGCCCAGGAGCAUCCUGUUAACAGGGGAAAAGCCUUCCUUGACUCAACUGGGAAGAUGCUGUAGCUGAUGCUUCAGUCUCUGAAGACCUAGUCCUGGGUAAGCAUUUUUCCUUGCUUUCCUGGUAUAAUGGGUCUGGUUGUUGCUCUCUAUUUAACGGAGACUUGCUUAUUAUGUUGCUAUUUGGCAGUUGCAGAU